rnacentral:rRNA from 1 species
CCUACGGGGGGCAGCAGUGGGGAAUAUUGCACAAUGGGGGAAACCCUGAUGCAGCGACGCCGCGUGAGUGAAGAAAUAAUUCGUUACGUAAAGCUCCAUCAGCAGGGAAGAAACACUGACCUUACGGUCAGCAGACGGUACCUGUGUAAGAAGCCCCGGCUCACUACGUGCCAGCAGCCGCGGUAAUACGGAGGGGGCAAGCGUUAUCCGGAUUUAUUGGGUGUAAAGGGAGCGGAGACGGUGCUCCAAGUCUGGAGUGAAAUGCCGCGGCUUAACUGCGGAACUGCUUUGGAAAGUGGCGGACUAGAGUGCGAGAGGGGUAAGCGGAAUGCCUAGUGUAGCGGUGAAAUGCGUAGAUAUUAGGAAGAACACCGGUGGCGAAGGCGGCUUACUGGACCGUAACUGACGUUGAGGCUCGAAAGCGUGGGGAGCAAACAGGAUUAGAUACCCUUGUAGUC